UGAAAUCUCAUUCAUAAAGAAAUUCGUAAGUUUUUGGGGGUUUUAUUCAUCAGCGGGAAUUCUCAAAAGCAGAGGGCGGGAAUUAGCAAAAUAUUAGGGCUCACGAAUCACGAACUCGCGGAAGAAUCGGGAUGUCAUUCCAUUUAAACCCUCAAUUGAAAUUUCAUAAUGAAUAUCAGCGAUUCUAUUGCCGGCGAGUUCUUAACUGCUACGAUUAUGAAGCAUCACCCACAAAUCACCUUCUAUAUUAUACUAUUGUAUUACCCGGAUUCGCAAAACCAGCACAAUGUGGAUGUUUGUGUUAGUCUUGAUGGUCCUUACAAGAACAAGGUCUGAAGAUGAUUCUCGAGUACUUACAACUCAAUCAACUGCCGAGGGAAGUGCAUCUACUAAGAGGCGCGGUCCGAAUUUAAAUCUUAGCGUCAAUAGGACUCUACAGGAUUUGCCUGAGGGUUCUAAAAUCCCUUUCAGAAUGGAUAAGUAUACAAUAUCCUUUGUUGGGACCUCAGCAACAGACUUUGCGACCGAGUGGAAUCAUUAUGCGCAAAUUUUGUCCGAUGAACUAUCACACAUGGGAAUCGGUACCGGAAGAUGCGAAAACCUUGAUGUAUGAGAAAUUAGAAGGAAAAUUCGAGUUGUUGUGAACAAAUACCAUUUUUAUGGAGUAUGUGCAUGCUCGACUACAUGCCCAGUGGAAACGCACCCGAGGUAAAUGGAGUGAACAUUGGAAGAAGAACGGAGGGAAAACCAAUCCGCAGCUAGCAAGAUCUAAAAAGGAAAUCUGAUUGCCCGAUUCAAGAAUGGAAUCGUUUGUGGUAGGAAGAAAACAAUACAAUCAGCAUGGGAGGUUGGUGUUGGGCCCGUGUUGAGGAAAAAAGAUAGUUGGAUGAAAUCGGUAGCUGAAUCAUCUCAACGAGACUCAAGUGAGAACGAAAGUCUGAGAAAUAAGGUUAUUGCACUAGAGGCGAAACAGAAACGAGAUAAGGAGAAAUAUGAAAGAAUGUUUGAGUUCAUUGGCACAAAGUUUCCAGACUUUGAAAGCACAAUACCCAUAGAUGCGAGUGAUGAAGUUGUUAGUGAUAAUACAAUUUAGGUAGUUAGUUAUGAUGUUUAUUAUAUUUUUUUAUCUAGUACCCUUUUAAACUUAAGAACCGAUUAUUUGGUGUUAUUUUGCUUAGUUAUUGUUAUGAUAUUAGUGCUUGAAUGUAUUAGGAUUUUGGGAAGCAAAA